GGGGUGGAGCUCGUAGGUUCCGUUGGCGAUAUUAACUUCUACACAAUAUGCAUAUGCAGAUAGUUCAAAUUUCCAUGCUCCCACAUGUAGGAUGCAAGACAUGAAUUAUUGUUGAAGUGUAAGUUGCAUUUCGAUCACAUUCACCUAAACAAGGUUCUAGAUUUUCAUUUUCUUCAUGAAGUAAGGUGUGUUGUGGUAUAAAACUUGGGGUUGAAACUUUAACAGUGGGUUGAAUGUGUGUGACACAGACUUGGAUGAAUUAUUCAUGAUUUUUAGUGAAGGACAACUAUUUCCUAUAUUUAUCUACUAUUUAUCUUUCCACAAAAAGAAAGGCAUGCUUCACAAAGUUUCAUUCAGUGUUUCAUAUUUUUCCUAAGAACUUUACUUCAGAACUAAGCUACUCCAAGUGGUUUCACAUUUUUCUCUACUCCGGAUUAAAUCUUAUGCAAAAAGAAAGAUUUAACCCUAGGUUUCAAAGAUAAAGUCAAAACAAUGAUUUAAGGUUCUACACCAGGUUCCUAACUAUUUUUCCAAGCUUCUACUCACUAGAACAAACACUUU
rnacentral:lncRNA from 1 species